rnacentral:sRNA from 1 species
CAAGCAAGAGUAGUUCCAUAUAAAAAAAUUAUGCCACUUGACUAAUACUGUCAGGUUAAAUUACAACAAUUGGAAUGAGCCAACUUCAGAUACGUUAAGGAUUACAAAAAACAACUGUCACCAGUGCUAAUGGAAUCUAAAAUCAUGGGUGCCAGUAAUCACAGGAUGCCCCCUUCUUACAGUACCCACUUUCAUAAAAUUUACAAACUCGCUGCCCUUUGGGCAGAGGCCUAUAUGAGCCUCCAUUCCCAACACCAUACGACGGUUGCCUGUUAAAUGCAAUUCUGCUUCUACCAAAACCUGAUUCCCUAGCAUGACCUUGAGAACCCCGAUCUCUAGGCACAGAAAAACGAUCACUGCCAUAUCUUGUUUGGUUAUCCCCAAAACCUGGAGUUACUACAGAAGUGUAUGAAUUUGAGCUCCUGGUUUCCUGCACUGCUGUUUGUCCUACUCCCCAACCCACAUUUGUAUUUCCUUGAUCUAUUCCACUCCACCCCAAAGGUGUACUAUCUAGCCCAAGUCUCCAAGUGGUGUCUAUAGCCAGGCCCAAGGUUGCAGGAGAUGGAACAACGGGUGAAUUUUCUGAGCCUGAAUCCCAUUGAUUACCCGAGACACUUGUGUUUUUUGUACCCACCUCAACUUUAGAACUUCUUGAAGAAUGCUCAUCAGAAAUUCUUUGAUGAUGGUGAUGUACAUCUGCUUGCCGUAAUGGUUCCUCUGCUGCUGUCGGUUGAGAUGGUAAGUUUAAAUCUCCAGUGGAGCUCAGUGCAUCACCUUUACCUGCAUCAAGCAUUGGGCCAAGGUCUGCAACAAAGCUGAGACAAUCAUUUUUAGAACCUUCAGUCAAAUCAUCGCCACAUUUCAUGAUUGAAGUGGGAGAUUCCAAGCCACCAAGUGACUCCAUUGCUUCCACUUCUGCCAACAGAUCUGAAACUGAUUCAUCAAAAUCAUUGGGCUCGCCAAUGAUUGCCUGCCAUGUUGAUGUAUUACAAGUUGGAGGGGAAGGAGGAUUAUGCAAAUCAAAUCCCAGCUUAUGCGGUGAUGUUUUUACACCAGAAACAUGAUUUGAUGAGGUAACUAAGCAAUUGGUAGAAAUAUUUAUAUCAAAGUGUCUCCAAGUCUGUCCAGAAGAUGUAUUACAAGCUGGAGGGGAAGGAGGAUUAUGCAAAUCAAAGCCCAGCUUAUGUGGUGAUGUUUUUGUACCAGAAACAUGAGCUGGUGUGUUAACCAAGCAAUCAGAAGAACUAUUUACAGUAGGGUGACUCCAGGUCUGUCCAGAUGAUGUAUUACAUGCAGGAGGGGAGGGAGGAUUAUGCAAAUCAAAUCCCAGCUUAUGUGGUGAUGUUUUUGUAUCAGAGGCAUGAGCUGACGUGGUAACCAAGCAAUCCGAAGAGCUAUUAAUAUUAACAUUAGGGUGUCUCCAGGUCUGUCCAGAAGAUUGCCCUGCAUUCUCUUCACUAUCUGAUGGCUUCUGAUAACUUUGCCCACUAUUACUCUGCCCAUCAACUGUUCUGUUUGAGCCAUUAUUUCCAUUAUCUUGAGAGUUUCGCACAAUCCCAUGAUCUUUCCUUAAUUUAUCAGAAGUUUCAUUCAUUUUCUCAGUAAUGGCAGUUGUCAAUGGUGAAGGGUAUAAAUGCAGCGGCCCAAGCCAUCCAUUGCUCCUGACAGGCUCAGCUUUACCAUCAGACUGGGUAGAGGUAUCAUCCACUAUUUUUUCCUUGAUCUGUUCAAUAAUUUGCCCAUCGGCAGAAAUUCCAUUCUUCACUACAUUCUUCCCAGCAUCCUGAACAUUAUGUUUAUUAUCCAAUGUACUGACCCCUAGAGAGAGCAAUGGGUUGUUGAAUGGCAAUGACACAUUUUUGGAACACUUCCCACUUAGUGCAUCCGUUAACAGUAUAGAGUUAUCCUGUUUCUCACCUAUCCUCCAUAUUUUGAGAUCUGGAGGGAAACCUCCACUUACAUUCCAUUUGUACAGCUGCAACAUAGAAAAAGGCCCUUGAACCUUCCCAGUUGGAUCUUGAUAAUUCCAUGAUCUAUCAUUCAAAAAUUCAUUAAGUGGCUGCUGUAUCUCCACUGGGAUAAGUGAUGGUGAAAUGUCCACUGCAACACUAGACACUUCUGAUUUCACAACCGUAUUAGUGCUAUCCUCGAUAGCUGUGUCACAGUUCUUUACUGUACAUAUACUCCCAACAUGUUCUCGGGUAACAGGCAAGUCUUGUGUUUUGCCUCCCGCAUCAUUGAAGACAUUGUUCGA